UUACUUGCAGGCAGGUGAGAUACCAUGAGCAUGAAGGUGGUUUUCCCUGGGUGGGGCUUGCCCAUUCCACUCUUGAUGUGCUGAAUCCUGUGAUUUUCCCAAAUGUGGGAAACCUGACUGCAUAAUUUGUGGUAGCUGGGGACUGCACCAACUUUCUCCCCUG
ensembl:snRNA U1 U1 spliceosomal RNA